rnacentral:lncRNA from 1 species
CCUAACGCACUGCCCCUUCUCCUCUUUUCCUUUUGAUAGAUUUUUCGAUUUCCGUGUCAAGCAAGCAUCCACUCUCCCUCUUUCUCCCAACUCCAUUUCUUAACCCAUGGGCAAUAACCAAACCCCAUCUCAAUAAAUUCUCAUUUACAUCCUUUUUCAUUUGCCCCUUUUCUUGCCUUCUAAUCUUCCUCCCCACCCACUUUCUCCUCUCUAUCUUUUUUCGGACUCAUGGGAUUCCCUUGAUGUGUUGAGUUUUUGGGAGCACUUACACUCCACUUGAUUUUUUGCUCNA